rnacentral:rRNA from 1 species
UAGUAUAGCAAUCUAUACGGUGAAACUGCGAAUGGCUCAUUAAAUCAGUUAUCGUUUAUUUGAUAGUACCUUACUACUUGGAUAACCGUGGUAAUUCUAGAGCUAAUACAUGCUAAAAACCUCGACUUCGGAAGGGGUGUAUUUAUUAGAUAAAAAACCAAUGCCCUUCGGGGCUCCUUGGUGAUUCAUAAUAACUUAACGAAUCGCAUGGCCUUGUGCCGGCGAUGGUUCAUUCAAAUUUCUGCCCUAUCAACUUUCGAUGGUAGGAUAGUGGCCUACCAUGGUUUCAACGGGUAACGGGGAAUUAGGGUUCUAUUCCGGAGAGGGAGCCUGAGAAACGGCUACCACAUCCAAGGAAGGCAGCAGGCGCGCAAAUUACCCAAUCCCGACACGGGGAGGUAGUGACAAUAAAUACUGAUACAGGGCUCUUUUGGGUCUUGUAAUUGGAAUGAGUACAAUUUAAAUCCCUUAACGAGGAACAAUUGGAGGGCAAGUCUGGUGCCAGCAGCCGCGGUAAUUCCAGCUCCAAUAGCGUAUAUUAAAGUUGUUGCAGUUAAAAAGCUCGUAGUUGAACCUUGGGCCUGGUUGGUCGGUCCGCCUCACCGCGUGCACUGAUCCGACCGGGUCUUUCCUUCUGGGGAGCCGCAUGCCCUUCACUGGGUGUGUCGGGGAACCAGGACUUUUACUUUGAAAAAAUUAGAGUGUUCAAAGCAGGCCUAUGCUCGAAUACAUUAGCAUGGAAUAAUAGAAUAGGACGUGUGGUUCUAUUUUGUUGGUUUCUAGGACCGCCGUAAUGAUUAAUAGGGAUAGUCGGGGGCAUCAGUAUUCCGUUGUCAGAGGUGAAAUUCUUGGAUUUACGGAAGACUAACUACUGCGAAAGCAUUUGCCAAGGAUGUUUUCAUUAAUCAGUGAACGAAAGUUAGGGGAUCGAAGACGAUCAGAUACCGUCGUAGUCUUAACCAUAAACUAUGCCGACUAGGGAUCGGGCGAUGUUA